GACGAAGGGGGCUAGCGUUGUUCGGAAUUACUGGGCGUAAAGCGCGUGUAGGCGGUUGCCCAAGUCGGGUGUGAAAGCCUUGAGCUCAACUCAAGAAAUGCACUCGGUACUGGGUGACUAGAGGACCGGAGAGGAUAGUGGAAUUCCCAGUGUAGUGGUGAAAUACUUAGAGAUUGGGAAGAACACCAGUGGCGAAGGCGGCUAUCUGGACGGUUUCUGACGCUAAGACGCGAAAGCGUGGGGAGCAAACAGG
rnacentral:rRNA from 1 species